GACGAACGCUGGCGGCGUGCUUAGCACAUGCAAGUCGAACGGAAAGGCCCUGCUUUUGUGGGGUGCUCGAGUGGCGAACGGGUGAGUAACACGUGAGUAACCUGCCCUUGACUUUGGGAUAACUUCAGGAAACUGGGGCUAAUACCGGAUAGGAGCUCCUGCUGCAUGGUGGGGAUUGGAAAGUUUCGGCGGUUGGGGAUGGACUCGCGGCUUAUCAGCUUGUUGGUGGGGUAGUGGCUUACCAAGGCUUUGACGGGUAGCCGGCCUGAGAGGGUGACCGGCCACAUUGGGACUGAGAUACGGCCCAGACUCCUACGGGAGGCAGCAGUGGGGAAUAUUGCACAAUGGGCGGAAGCCUGAUGCAGCAACGCCGCGUGCGGGAUGACGGCCUUCGGGUUGUAAACCGCUUUCGCCUGUGACGAAGUGUGAGUGACGGUAAUGGGUAAAGAAGCACCGGCUAACUACGUG
rnacentral:rRNA from 1 species